GCUUUCCUGCGGUGUUCGUUACGGUUCGAAAUUCCUUGAACCAAGCACUUACCCGGCCAUAAGCCACGUAGGCGCCUGUUGUGCGCGUUCCUUAGUCGAAUGCACCUGAUGGCGCCCGGCCCUUGGCCCCUUGAACCUUCUGGGUUCAGGAUGUGAACCGGACGGCACUCGCGGGAAGCCC
rnacentral:other from 1 species